UCAAGAUUCAGCGAGUGCGUUCAAGGUUAGUUCUUCUUUCGCGCCUGUGUAAAUUACAUUGAAUCUAUUUCAUCUAUUUUGGUUCUAGAAUUUGUUAGGGUUUCGUCUUCUCAUCUUUCGAACUUAUUGCAUUGAAAUGAUAUAGAGCUUGAUUCUGUUUAGGGUUUGACAAAUGAUUGUGUUGAUUUAAUCAUCCAUUCCAUCCUUUUGCAUUGCUUGUUCGUCUAUUCAACUGGUUAAUGUUCAACCAUUCAGACUUUGCAGUUCUCUUUAGAACAGUUUAAAUUUAAAUUACUGUUCCAGUUAUUUGAAUGGCAAAACUCUAACCAUUAGAGUUUUGAAUUCUUGUUAUAGUAAGUAAUUAGUAUUGUUAGAGCGGUUUCUGUUUACCCUGCUGACAUACCCAAAUUCCCCUGCCCUCUGACAUACGCAU
rnacentral:lncRNA from 1 species